GACGGAGGAUGCAAGCGUUAUCCGGAAUCAUUGGGCGUAAAGCGUACGUAGGCGGCUUAUCAAGUCUGGGGUCAAAGACCACAGCUUAACUGUGGAAAGGCCUUGGAAACUAGUGAGCUGGAGUGAGGUAGGGGUUGCGGGAAUUCCCGGUGUAGCGGUGAAAUGCGUAGAUAUCGGGAAGAACACCUGAGGCGAAAGCGCGCGACUGGGCCUUAACUGACGCUGAGGUACGAAAGCUAGGGGAGCGAAUGGG
rnacentral:rRNA from 1 species